UACGGAGGGUGCAAGCGUUAUCCGGAUUCACUGGGUUUAAAGGGUGCGUAGGUGGGUUGGUAAGUCAGUGGGGAAAUCCCCGAGCUUAACUUGGGAACUGCCAUUGAUACUAUCAGUCUUGAAUACCGUGGAGGUCGGCGGAAUAUGUCAUGUAGCGGUGAAAUGCUUAGAUAUGACAUAGAACACCAAUUGCGAAGGCAGCUGACUACGCGAGUAUUGACACUGAGGCACGAAAGCGUGGGGAUCAAACAGG
rnacentral:rRNA from 1 species